CCUACGGGUGGCAGCAGUGAGGAAUAUUGGUCAAUGGCCGGAAGGCUGAACCAGCCAAGCCGCGUGAAGGACGAAGGUGCCAAGCAUUGUAAACUUCUUUUGUCAAGGGACAAAAUCAGGCUCGAGAGCCUGACCGAGGGUACUUGCAGAAAAAGCAUCGGCUAACUCCGUGCCAGCAGCCGCGGUAAUACGGAGGAUGCGAGCGUUAUCCGGAUUUAUGGGGGUUAAAGGGUGCGUAGGCGGACUGUUAAGUCAGCGGUAAAAGCCCGGGGCUAAACCCCGGCGAGCCGUUGAAACGGGCUGUCUUGAGAUGUCGAGAGGUAUGCGGAAUGCGCAGUGUAGCGGUGAAAUGCUUAGAUAUUGCGCAGAACUCCGAUUGCGAAGGCAACAUACCGGCGGCGAUCUGACGCUGAGGCACGAAAGCGUGGGUAGCGAACAGGAUUAGAUACCCCUGUAGUC
rnacentral:rRNA from 1 species